rnacentral:rRNA from 1 species
UACAGAGGUCCCGAGCGUUGUUCGGAUUCAUUGGGCGUAAAGGGCGCGUAGGCGGCGGGGCAAGUCAGUGGUGAAAUCUCCGGGCUUAACCCGGAAACUGCCAUUGAUACUAUUUGUCUUGAAUACUGUGGAGGUCAGCGGAAUAUGUCAUGUAGCGGUGAAAUGCUUAGAUAUGACAUAGAACACCAAUUGCGAAGGCAGCUGGCUACACAAAUAUUGACACUGAGGCACGAAAGCGUGGGGAUCAAACAGG